rnacentral:rRNA from 1 species
UACGUAGGGUGCGAGCGUUAAUCGGAAUUACUGGGCGUAAAGAGUGCGUAGGCGGUUCGUUAUGUCUGCUGUGAAAGCCCCGGGCUUAACCCGGGAAUGGCAGUGGAAACUGGCGGGCUUGAGUGUGGCAGAGGGGGGUGGAAUUCCGCGUGUAGCAGUGAAAUGCGUAGAGAUGCGGAGGAACACCGAUGGCGAAGGCAGCCCCCUGGGCUAACACUGACGCUGAGGCACGAAAGCCAGGGGAGCAAACGGG